rnacentral:lncRNA from 1 species
GUCUCACACCUGCUGUCCCCACAGAUCUCUCUCGGGCUCACCCUGUGCUUGUGGGACAUGUAUUUGCUGGAAGGACAGGGCCUCUACGAAGAAACUAACAAGGAAGCAAGGGGACCUGCCACCCCCAAGUGGGGCCCUCAAAGUUACUAGAGGAGCCAGACCCAUUUGUGGGAGACCCCCCCACUCCCUACAAGCACCCACAGCCUCAGAGAGCAGCAGAGGCCCCUCACUCCUGCACCUCCUCCAAGGUUGCCAGGACAACAAGCCUUGAGCAAGGGAGACAAGGGAAUUGGGUGUCCCUGACCCACAGGGCAUUCAGGGAGAGGGCACAGGCAGGACCAUUUUCUUGUCUACUU